rnacentral:rRNA from 1 species
UACAUGGGGUGCAAACGUUGCUCGGAAUUAUUGGGCGUAAAGCGCACGUAGGCGGUUUGUUAAGUCGGAUGUGAAAUCCCUCGGCUCAACUGAGGAAGUGCAUCCGAAACUGGCAAGCUUGAGUACGAAAGAGGGUCGCGGAAUUCCCGGUGUAGAGGUGAAAUUCGUAGAUAUCGGGAGGAACACCGGUGGCGAAGGCGGCGACCUGGGCCGUGACUGACGCUGAGGAGCGAAAGCGUGGGUAGCAAACAGG